UAGCUCAGUGGUAGAGCAUGUGUUUAGCACAUACAAGGGCCCUAGGUUCAAUUCCCAG
rnacentral:tRNA from 1 species